GACGGGCUGCACGGUACGACAGGGAUAACUUUUCCUCGGGGCCUUAGUCAUUCCGAAGGGAGCUGUCCCUGCCUUGGUCCGUGGACUGGGGCACACGGCGCCCACCUACUCUGUAGGUUCCCGGGAUCGACUUUCUCAUCGGCCGAGGUGGCUCGUCA
rnacentral:other from 1 species